CCAGAGGCGGCCUCCAAAACCCGGUAAAUCCCGGAAGCCAGUCACGUCUGCAAAACGCUGUCUGGCUUUCUCACCCGCCCGUCAGAAAUGGGUUUCCAAAUCGAGUACGCGGGCCUCUCACCGUUACGGCCUCUCCCGUUGUGGAGCACAGGCUCCGGACGCGCAGGCUCAGCGGCCAUGGCUCACGGGCCCAGCCGCUCCGCGGCAUGUGGGAUCUUCCCGGACCAGGGCACGAACCCGUGUCCCCUGCAUCGGCGGGCAGACUCUCAACCACUGCGCCACCAGGGAAGCCCAAGAGGAACUGUGCUAAGUGCGGAGGAUGCCGAAGUGACUGAAACAUGAUGCUGACGAGAUGACAACAAACUUAAACAUGUAACUUAAAUAUUUCCUCUUCUGCUUCUGGCUUUUGCUUUGCCCAAAGGGGAGCUAUUUCUCUUGGAAGAGAGUGGACAAAUGUGUAGCAGGUGAACAGAAUCGUGUUUGCGUUCCAGCUGUUGCACCAGCUGUGUCACAGUGACAGUGGCCUCCACCUGUCUCACUCCUGCUUCCGCCAGUUCAGAACCAAGUUAUUUUUAUACUCAUAUCAUGGGACAGCCCAAGUGGUGAUGGAAGUUCUUUAAUGCUGGAUUUGGAACCGAAUGCAUUCUGGUUUCUGGAAAUCCAUGUACUAAAUGGCUACUUCCACAGCAACAGACACAACACGUAAAAUGCAGCAAUAGUCCAUAGCUGCUGGUGGUGGAGUCGAUCCCCUUAUUUCGAAGGAGAGGAGGAACCUUGGACACAAUGAAGGGUUGACCCAAAGUCAUCUGACAACCUAGAGGACAAGCCAGGGCUACUCAAAUCUCCUGGCUCUGAUUCCAUGUUCUUUUUGUUGAGGCAGUCAUGACAUCACCCACCAAACGAGUGCAGAUUUUAAUCUCCCUCAUUAAGAGGCCUGCUGGCUGUACGACUCAUGCAUACGCAUCAUGAUGGUUCCUGGGUGGUUGACACUCAUCACCCUCUGACUUCAUUUUUUUUUCUUCCUUUGCAAGAUGGUUAUUGCCCAGAGCCAGCGUCCCUUUUCCAAAAAGUGAACAUGCCAGAAGGGUUUUUGGAAACUGCCUUGAUAUCUGUCAGGAGCCAGAUGAUUCGCAGCAAUGAACCAAUACACAUAACGAGGAUAACUGAUUGGAUUACCAAUUAGCCACCUCCACCUCUGGAGGGUGGUUGGAAAGAAGAGAAAAGGCAGUGUUUAGUUUGGGCAAAUACCAAGAGGACUUUAUCAUCCUCAUCAAGACAUCAGCACGGCACAUUAGGCCUCCUCCAAGCCAUUCCAUGGGAACGUCUCUCUCCAGAUGCUCCAGCAAGAGCAAACUUGCUAUGCAGACAUUGGGUUAUUGUGUCUGAGUUACAGAAGCAUCCCUGGGUUCAGCGAGAGGGGAGAAACUGGUUGACUUGCAUCUGUUUUUAAUGAUGUCUCUGCUGCUGGGGAGUUUUGGAAGCUGCAGGUAAAAUCUUCCCCCAAGAAAGCGAGGCUGACCUGGGAUGUAUCAUCUUACCUUCACCCGACAGAAGCUCCUUGGUUUGGGUAGGCCUUGGGAGGGACAGGCAGCUGUUUUCUCCAUUUGGACCCAGCAAGAAGUGUCCCAGUGUGGGGUCUCUGGGUUUUUCUUGAAAAUAAGCACAAACAUGGGCAGUGUUAGCACCAGUGCAGGGGAGGGAGGCUGAACCUGGACCGUGCUCCCUGAAUCCCCAGCGGGCAGAUGCCGGUGUGCUCAGGAACUUGCCAGGGUGCAGGGCCAGCCCCACGCCUGGGAUUCGGCAGAGCAGGGCCAGGGUUCACGCCCCAUCAUCUGGAGUCAGUGUGGGAUGAACAGGGCGGGGCUGCCACAGCCUACGACGUGCCUUCUGUGAAGGUCUAGAAAAGGGGGAAUCCUCUGGUUUCAGGCAGCCCUCCAGGCACAAGGUGAACCUGGAGGGGGCACCUUGUGUGAAGGAAAGGGAGCCCCAUCCUCCAAGUGUGUGCAGCCCAGCUCCUGGGCACAGGGCUCAGUGGUUCCAGCCUCUGCUUCCUGCUCUGUCACACGCCUUUGUGCAGUACUCAGCGGCACAGCUGUGCCCUGUGGUUCAAGUGCUGGGACUGCUUAGUGACUCCAAGGGGCUCAGGCCAAGGAGGAGAAGGAAGCUCUAUUUCUCUCAGUUGCUUAGAAAUAUUGAGGGUGUUUCUAUAACUUUACCUUCCCCAUUUCCAAGGCAAAAAGGUCAGGAGUAGAGCUGGCAAUCAGCCACAGUGGAUGCUUACAAGUGUGUAAACACACAUAUACGCAGAGGCAUCACACACACGGAAACACACAUACUUACACCAAGGUGUGCACUCACACGUACAUAUAUACACACUCACAAGGCACGCACACAUAUGCAGGUGUGCCUGCAAGGACACACAUGUAUCACACAUGAGGAAGGACACACAGCAACACAUGUGUACUUGUUCGCAGGCAGGCCUGCAUGCCUGCAUAAUCACACAUACAUACACGAGCACACAAGUAUACACAUGUACUCCCAUAGCUAUAUAAGCACACACAUACCCUAAGACACACGUGUGCCCCCAUACACACAUUCAUUUACACACACUCAGCCUACACACUUGAGGCUUCAGGCUGCACUCGUCAUAGUCACAGCCCUGGCAUUCAUUCUAAUCAGGUUCUCCUUUUGUAAGGGUGUCUAAUUCGGCGUGUGUGUGUGUGUGUGUUUGGUGUGAUUUGUUCUGGGCAAUGCAACCUCCUAGGAAUACCCUUGGUGGUGACGCUACUGUACCUAAAGUUCAGUUCAUUAGCUCAAUAUUAAGAGAGCAUCAUUGCCAUGCAAAUAUAAAAGGGAGGAGGUUGUAAGAGAAAGGUUCCAUUUGGAAAUAGUUUGUAAGUUUCUUUGGAGAGAGAGAGAGAGAGAGAGAGAGAAUUUGACUUUGACCAUCCCAGCCUUAAACAGAGGAGCUGCAAGCACAUAUGGAAUUAUUGAUCCAUGUAUUGAAUUUAUGCUUACAAGGCUUCAAAUAUAAAUAAAUGCUUGGGUCGAGGCAGGGGGAGCGCAAGCGAGCAGGAUUUAAAUAGUGAGGCAUCUGUCUCUGAGCGAGCCUGGGAUGGGACGAAAGCUGUGGUAUCUGUUGUCUUCUUGGUAGCUCUCAGUUGCCACAUUCCUCUCGAGUGUGAGCUUCUCUAGGCCCUGAGUGUGAUUCUAUUGUUAACAGAGAUACUUUGUUCACAUUGUCUGGCACCCAAACACACACCAGCUCCUUCAACUGGUGCUCAAUCAGAGAAAGCCACCCAUCAUCCGAUGAGGGAGGAACAGCUGAUUGGGCUGCACUUUCUAGAAAAUGGUUUGUUGGUCUCCAGCAUGGCCCCUCCCUAAGGGAUUUUCAGGGGUCAUUUGGACCCUAAGCAACUUUUGCUUUAUGUGCUGCGUUUAGAUCAAAGCCCCCAUGGAAGCUGUUAUUGCACUGUCUUAGUUUCCUCCUGGACUGUUGGCUCUUAAGGAUAAGAACUCUGAGUGGGGCUAAGUCAUAGAGGGUGUGGCCCUGCCUGCCUCAUCCUUCAGUAGAAAUCCAGAGUCCUUUUCUCUCUGUGUACAGGCCUCAGGCUCUGCCCUGGGCCGGAGGGUGACUCCUCCCCGGGGACUCUUCCUGUUGGCAGCGUCCCCAGGCUCCCUUGCCCCGUGCAGGGUUAUGGCUCGGUGUUGAGAAUGCCUGGUAAACCCAGUAGCGAGUCUCCCUGCUGAGCGCAGGGAGCUGUGUCAUCACACGCUGCUGCCGGGAGCGAGGAAAGCACAGAACAGCUUGGCAGUGCCUGUUGGUGCAGAAAACCCUUAAAACAUGUACUGACUCUUGAGGAAUAUGCAUGGUGACCGUUAAUCCCACUGACAGCAUUGGAAACACUGCUGAUUCCCUUUUUUCAAUGGGGUGGCUUUCAGACAGCUUAUGUGUGGCCCUGGAGGAUGAUUAAAAUGAGCCCAGAGCCACAGACAAGCCAAGAGGGUGCAUCCGUGCACCCCGGGAGUGAUUACCUUGUCCUGCUGCUGGGAGUGCCCCGCCGGCCCGUCUCACAUGGUGGGGGCCCAUGGGGCUGCUGUGGCCUGAUGUCCUGGGGCUGUCCAGGCCCCUCUGGCUCUCUGGACCUUUUCUUCCUUCCGUCAGGGACAGUGGUGGAGUGCCAGCCUGGGGUGCAGCAUCAUCCUCUUCAAAAGCAAAAGGAGAAAAAGUACGAGUGAGAAUUUGGAUCAGUAAGAAAGUGAAGGAACCUCUUUUCUAAUUCUGUUGCUGUGGCUCCUAGUGUCUAGGAUCACUGAUUCCCCUCACUCUCAAGUUUGUCUCUCUUUUCCAGCCCUGCUAAGGAGCAGAGGCCGGGUAUCUCCCACAGCCAAGGUGGGAUUAUCUUGGCUAGAAUAGCAGCCCUACUGUUGGGGAACCUCCAAGAACUGGGAGGAACUGAACAGUGGUUGUUGUUAUCCUCAUCCUAUUGAUGGGCUCCUGAGAUAGGAGAUAGACUAGGGAGGCUGCAAGGUCCUUCCCUAACUGGGGAGACCCCAGCGUUAAAGCUCAUGGGACUAUUGGCUACAGAGUUCCAACCACAAAGCAAUUUUUCUAAGCAGAACCAGUGAUCUCAUGGCUCCUCCAGGUCAUAAAGUACAAAGUAGCCCCUUCUAGAUGGUAGUUAGAGGGUAACAGGAUGGAUGAUAAACGCAAAGCACGUCUUGACCUCAAUCUUUGUUCUUUCUCUCACUCUUUCCCAAAACAGGCUCUGCUCUAGGAGCUGCUCUAGGGAGGGCAAAACCUAAUUUUUAGAGGGUAAUCUAAAAGCGAUUGGGACCUUGUCUUAAUCUCAGAGAGAGUGGUCUUUAUUUCAUGUUCAACACACUCUUGGUGUUUGUGUUUAAAGGCUGGCUUCACACACAGUCUCCAAGUAUCACAAGCUACUUAUUUACAAAGGGAAGAGGUGUCUUAACAAUGGAGAAAGACAUCUCUUUAACCGAAUAAUGAAAUUUAACAUCACUUAUAAUGGAACAACUUACAACAAAGGGAAUUAAUAUAAAGGGAUAUUUUGUGUCCCUUGAUGUAAUGCACGGAGAAGCACACAUCACCAACAUGCCAUUCUUGCCAAAAAUGUUUGAUCUGAAUCUAAUCAUGAGGAAACAAACCUAAAUUGAGGAUAAUUCUGUAAAGCAGCUAGCCUAAACUCUUCAAAAAUGUCAGUGUCAUGAAAAAUGAGACUGGGGAAGUGUUCUAGAUGAAAAGAUUCUAAAGAGAUGUGACAGUUAAAUACAAUGUAUGAUUCUGAGUGGAAUCCUGGAUUGAUUGGGGGAAAAAAAAACAACUGUAAGGAAUAUUACUGGUGUAAUUAGAGAAAUUUGAAUGUGGACUAUAUAUUAGAAAAGAGUAUUACAUCAAUGUUAAUUUUCUUGAAUGUGAUAAUUGUACUGUGGUUACAAGGAGAAUAUCCUUGCUCUUGGGAGAUACGUGCUGAUAAGGGAUGAAAUGUACAAAGUCUGCAGUUUAGUCUCGGAUGGUUCAGCAAUAAAAUAAAAUAUGUAUGUGUGUAUGUGCGUAUAAAAAAUCUGGCUUCAUUUUUAUGAUAUGAGAAGUGAAACAAUCCAGAGCUAAGCACGUAAAUGGGUCUGUGCAACCUCUGGGGCGAUGAGAGUC